UGCAUAGCUUCAUUCUUGCUGCUGCUGUUGCUGCUGUUGCUGCUUUAAUUGCUGUCUUGGUGGAUUAGGGUGAGAGUUUACAUUUGCUGUUGUUGCGUGUAUGGGCCCGAUCAUGGCUCAUUCCAUCGGGUGAGUGGAUUCAUCACGCAUGCAAGGAUCACCGUUCUCCUCUCCCCUUCCCAUCGUCUCUACAUUCGCUGUUUGCUGCUUUCUUGCCAGGUCUAUACGAGAAAUGGUGCGGAAAUACAGAGAGGAGUUGUCAUGGCUAGCCGUCCGAAAUGGUAACCGGGUCUUUUCUUCAGAAGAAGAUUUUAAUGGGGGAACGAAGCCAGUGAACGACACAAGGCCCUUCCCCGCUCACAAGUAUUGCUGGAAUGCGAUACAGAACGCCGCUCGCAGCUCCAUGCAAGAGAUGGACGAUUUUGCAAACUUUCAGGACCUCGACCGUCGUGCUACAGAAGUUCUGCGUCGCAGGAAAAAUAUGCAAUACAAAUUGUUCAGACUGCAUCAGUUCAGUCAGCAGGUUCUUGAAGGGGAACACACUUGCAAGUCUUCUGUAGCUCUUACCAGAAAAUCAGGCUUUCACACUAGCGGCAUACAGACAUCUAACUUGCCUGGCACUAGAUUAUGUUCACCCCAUAGUUUAGAAACACGUGAGCGACGAAAUCGCAAGAGCCAUCGUUGCACAGGAGAUGUGGUUACGAGGAAUUUCGAGGAGAUUGAGAAAAUUCUAGGCGAGUGCAAUUUGAUCAUGGAACAAAACUCCUCCAGUAAUGAAGAUACAAAACAUCUGGAACAAGUGAGCGCUAGAGAGAUGGCUGCCAGCAGAGCUGCGAAUGCCUUCUUGAAAAAAGGUGCUGGACAUUGCAGUGCUCUAGCAACCGAGAGGAUGCUGGAAAGUGCUACAGCCCUUGCAGAGGUGGGAGCUGACCUCACUUGCCGAAAUUUGGUGAAUAUUUCUGAUGGAUUAACGGGCAGUGCAGAUCCAGCUUGUCAUCUUCCCACCUUCAACACAAGAAAACAAUAUGGAUGGCAGACUACGGAGUUGUCAUCUCUACAAUCCUCAGUUUUGUGCCAUGAAUCGAUGAUUUGUGACAUAUCAGUCCCUGAAACAUCUAGGGCCACUUCCGCUAAACUUCCAGUAAUGAACGAAGUAAAAACUGCGUGUAGCGAUGUGCGGUGGUUGAGCAAAAGUGAACACCUACAUUCUGAGAAAUUCAGCGUUUCUUCAAAGCAAGCAAACAAUGGUGAUUGGGAAUCUCUCGAGCGGAUCAAUUUUGGGAAUGUUUAUUUGGGUGGAACGAAUGCGAAUGGCAGACUACUAACGGGAAGUAGAAGUGAUAGAACUACCACAGAAAGACAGCGGCCAAAUGUUGUGGACUGUCAGCACCCCUACUCUAUGAGAAAAACGUCCAUAAAAAACUACCCAAAGUACAAUAAUUCGUGCUCCACGCAGAUUCCGUUGAGUCACGCUGGAAGUUUUUGGCAGGGAGCGGGAGGUUAUGACCCUGAUAUGUCAGGUAUAGAGAGUCGGAGCUGUGUAGAAAGAUGGGUUAGAAUGAGUUCAUAUGAACCUGGAUGUUUGGAGACUAGAAGGGUUCAAGUAUUGAUGGAGGAUUUGCAAAUGGAUUUGGGAAAUUCAGGAAGAAAACGAGCAAGUUUGAGGUCUUCAUCAUCUGAGCAUCAGUUUAAGGCUUCAUGCGAAGGGCGAUGGGCUUACCCACCCCAACCUUACCUUUCUCAAAAUAGUUCAAUGUCUCCAGUGGCUUCAGAAUUUGUAAGCUGCAAGUCUUCUAACGGUGUAGCAGUUGUUGAGGAGCGUGAAGAACUGGCUCUCCGACACAACCAACGAAAAGAUUCAAGGUUAGGAGCAGCCGUCAAUAGCAACUUCAAAGAAAGAGGUCAAGAAGACUUUGACUGCAGUGCUUUAACUGCCGGGAUUCCAAACAAUAACUUGGUGUUUGAUCACAGUAACAGCAGAGAAGCUGGGAACCACUCUCCUGGAACCGUUUCUGCAAAGAUCCUCGAAACACGGCAAUCAGAUCAAACGUCUUACAUGUUUCCUGCUCCAGUGAGGACACAUGCCGCAAACGAAGCUGCGCAGAUUGCAGAAACGUGCAUGCCGUCUGAGAAGGCUAGCAUUCAGGUUGAGAUUAGUAGUGACCUGUCACUCGAAACAUUCUUCCCCUUGGUAUUGACUGUGAAAGAGGAUCACUGCGCAACCAGCUGCCAGGUUUCUCAACGCUUGCACCAUUCGUCAACAAGCUCCAUAGUCUCGCCUGAAUUGGACCUUUUGAUAUCAGAGGUAAUACGUGAAUGGGUCGGCGGCGGCUGUAACACUUCCCCAACCGUGUGCUCUUGGUUUGGACGUCAAGAAACUUAUGCUGCAAGCCCUACUACUUCUUCGAUCACCGAAGUGUGCAGCGCUGAUUUCCCUGUCGCAGAGGUUGAGACAUCACUAGAAGAAAGGAUAAACAUUGUGAGAGGGGUGAAAGUUUCGGAAGUUAAUACCCACGACCCAUAUAGAGAAUUGCAAGGAUCAAAAUCUCAACCCCAAUGCACAGAGCUGGUGAAAUGUGUUGGGAAAAAUAGUGUAGCAGCCCUGGCAUCAGUUGUACAACCGUUACUAGCUGCUCUACAAGGGUCAGAAGUAGGAGAAAAUAUUAUCACAGAAUUUGAAGCAGAUGAGACAAUCCAUUUGCUCCUGGAGAAACUGCAGUUUUAUGAUGCGAAGAUACGGGCCCUGAAGAGUAGAGGGAAAGGCAAUCUAAGAAACCAAAGCUCUACAACAGAGAACUGAACUAAAAUGGGCACAUUUUUCUGUAAAACUCGUGCAACAAUUUUUCGGAUUAUCCAUCAUAACCUUGCAUAGCUAUGAAUCGGCAGCUCUCAGCGUAAAAGUGUGACUCACAAGUGGUAUGAGUUUGAAUGAGGAAACCUUGAAUGGUAGUACAAGUGGUUUCGAAAUGCUUUGGUCUCCCGGGUGUUAACAGAGGAGAAGUAGAAAAAAGAACGUAUUAUACAACAGUAACAAUGAUAUUAACUAGUUCUUGUUAAGUGUAUAUUACAAAGGUUGAUGUCAACCUUUAAUAUGAUGGGACUUAAAUGUAAGGGGACAUGAUGUUAUUGUCUAAAUAUAAUAACUACUUACUAAAAUUAUUCUAUU